rnacentral:rRNA from 1 species
AACAGGAUUAGAUACCCUGGUAGUCCACGCCGUAAACGAUGUCGACUUGGAGGUUGUGCCCUUGAGGCGUGGCUUCCGGAGCUAACGCGUUAAGUCGACCGCCUGGGGAGUACGGCCGCAAGGUUAAAACUCAAAUGAAUUGACGGGGGCCCGCACAAGCGGUGGAGCAUGUGGUUUAAUUCGAUGCAACGCGAAGAACCUUACCCACUCUUGACAUCCAGAGAACUUAGCAGAGAUGCUUUGGUGCCUUCGGGAACUCUGAGACAGGUGCUGCAUGGCUGUCGUCAGCUCGUGUUGUGAAAUGUUGGGUUAAGUCCCGCAACGAGCGCAACCCUUAUCCUUUGUUGCCAGCGGUUAGGCCGGGAACUCAAAGGAGACUGCCAGUGAUAAACUGGAGGAAGGUGGGGAUGACGUCAAGUCAUCAUGGCCCUUACGAGUAGGGCUACACACGUGCUACAAUGGCAUAUACAAAGAGAAGCGACCUCGCGAGAGCAAGCGGGCCUCAUAAAGUAUGUCGUAGUCCGGAUUGGAGUCUGCAACUCGGCUCCAUGAAGUCGGAAUCGCUAGUAAUCGUGGAUCAGAAUGCCACGGUGAAUACGUUCCCGGGCCUUGUACACACCGCCCGUCACACCAUGGGAGUGGGUUGCAAAAGAAGUAGGUAGCUUAACCUUCGGGAGGGCGCUUACCACUUUGUGAUUCAUGACUGGGGUGAAGUCGUAACAAGGUAACC